AGCGAUUCUCCAUACAGGUGGGCGUCCCGGUCUUAUCUUCACCGUAGAUAGCUUGUUGGAGACUCGUGCUGUUCAUUUUGCAAAUAACAACCUGGACAAGUCCAUCCUCCCACCUCUAUAGACACCGAAGUGGACAAAGCCAUCUUCCUCUGUUCUCUCUCCUCCUUAUCCUCUGCAUCCUCAUCGCCUCGAGUUCAUCUUUCCCCAACCCCAUCGGUGAUCAUCCCUAGCACCGCCAUGGCCCCUGUGCUCCGGCGACGCCGCCAACUCGACACUGCUACACGGCUCACGUCCUCCAACCGUGAUUUUUUGUCCAGAUCCAUUAUUCCUGCCUGGUUGUGGACAGAAAUCCUCUAGCAUUGCAUCUUUCUACUCUUUGAUUUGCUUCAUUGUUUCUCCAAACCAAACUGACAGAUUGCGUCUUAGAUUGGCUUUUUCAUGUUUGAACAUCUGAUUUGCCUUCCACGUUCUAUCUGACGACCUGCUCAUGAACACUAUUUCCUACCUCGUCUCAGAUCUGGCCAUGGAGGGCAAGAACCGAGUGCUCCAUGGAUUUUACUUUGCUCAAAUCUGUCGAUAGUUACAUGGAUUUUUUUCAUCGUUUUUCCAUGUGGUCUGCUGUCAAACAUGAAUGGAUUUUACUUUGCUCAAAUCUGUCAUUUUUGGGUGUUCUUGUUUGAGGAGAACGGAUUUUCUAUGGAUUUUCUCAGAACCAAAUGCUCCAUGGAUUUUAUUUUUGUUCAGAUCCUGAUGUUGAGUGAAUGUUUUGACAAAAAAUGGAAGAAUUUUUUUGCCAUGCUUCCAGAUACAUGCUACAAUCCAUUCUUUUUAAAAAAAAAUCAGUAUGACAUGUUCAUGGGCAGUAAACGUUCACCGUAACACUAAAUUAAGUGCUCAUAGUUUUCUUUAAUCUCUUAUUGGAACAUACUGUACUCCUAAAUCUGAACAAUGGAGAUUUGCUCAUACAUGUUAAAUUGGUCCAGGUCCAGUUAACGUACUGGAAUAUUUUUUAGUCCAGAUCCAAUUAAGUUAAUGUUCAUUCCUUGCUGUAAACAUUCCAAUUAAGGUAAUUUUUUACAUACAACUAAUAUGAUAGUACAAACUAAUCAAAAUAUCUCUGUAAACAUUCUAUGAAAUGUGAAGACUGUAGGGUAUGUCAUGUAAACAGGAAGGGACUUGCUGACACGAAAAAUGUAUAGUGCAAGGUGUUCUCUACAAAAUGCAAAAGGGGUUGCACGAAUCUUAAUGCAGCAUUGCACGUCCAGGAUAAGCCCGGGACACCCACAUAUAUGUAGAGUUGUAUUUUCGGUGAACCCUAUCACAAGUGUUUCUCGAGUGUCACUAUUCUUCGCUGAAUUAAGAGAGAUGUUUGGCCAAAAAUAUUAUUUCUGCUAUCCUCUGGAAUCAAACAGUGAAAAUGGUCAGUGUUCUGCUUGCAGUAGCCAAGGAAUGGAUGAUCUGCAACAUCCAGCCACAGGUGGAUAUUUCAGGGGCUCGACAGGUUCCGCAUUCCCUUACAUGUACAUGGAAAGUGAUGCUGAUAGCGAUUAGCGGGGGUUGUUGAAUCUGUAUUCAGAGUUGGGCGUGGUUGGGGCAUGCGAGUCUAGUAGUCCAGGCAGCAUAUAUAUACAAUAAUCUGCUGAUAGAUGUUUUAUUUCCACCCGUUGAACCAACCCUUUUUGUUAUGUGUCUGUGAUACUGAGAUUCUAUGUAGUACUGAUUUUCUUUAUGUAGGGUCAUGUAACUAGUUCUUUGCUACAUUCCAGCAGAAUACACAACGAAAGUGUCAAUUCUUUCUGCUAA